GCUCACACCCAACCAUAGUUCAGUGGUAGAACAUCUGCUUUGCAUGCAGAGGGUGCCAGGUUCAAACUCUGGCAUCUCCA